UACGGGGGGGGCAAGCGUUGUUCGGAAUUACUGGGCGUAAAGGGUCUGUAGGUGGCCAACUAAGUCAGACGUGAAAUCCCUCAGCUUAACUGGGGAACUGCGUCUGAUACUGGUUGGCUUGAGUGCAGGAGAGGAAUGCGGAAUUCCAGGUGUAGCGGUGAAAUGCGUAGAUAUCUGGAGGAAUACCGGUGGCGAAGGCGGCAUCCUGGACCGGCAUUGACGCUGAGGAGCGAAAGCUAGGGGAGCAAACGGG
rnacentral:rRNA from 1 species